CAACCUGCCGAUAACUCUGGGAUAGCCUUUCGAAAGAAAGACUAAUACCGGAUGGCAUAGGAUUAUCGCAUGAUAAUCCUAUUAAAGAAUUUCGGUUAUCGAUGGGGAUGCGUUCCAUUAGGCAGUUGGUGAGGUAACGGCUCACCAAACCUUCGAUGGAUAGGGGUUCUGAGAGGAAGGUCCCCCACAUUGGAACUGAGACACGGUCCAAACUCCUACGGGAGGCAGCAGUGAGGAAUAUUGGUCAAUGGACGGGAGUCUGAACCAGCCAAGUAGCGUGAAGGAUGACUGCCCUAUGGGUUGUAAACUUCUUUUAUACGGGAAUAAAGUGAUCCACGUGUGGAUUUUUGUAUGUACCGUAUGAAUAAGGAUCGGCUAACUCCGUGCCAGCGGCCGCGGUAAUACGGAGGAUCCGAGCGUUAUCCGGAUUUAUUGGGUUUAAAGGGAGCGUAGGUGGAUUGUUAAGUCAGUUGUGAAAGUUUGCGGCUCAACCGUAAAAUUGCAGUUGAUACUGGCAG
rnacentral:rRNA from 1 species